rnacentral:rRNA from 1 species
AGUGAACGCUGGCGGUAGGCCUAACACAUGCCAGUCGAACGGCAGCACAGUAAGCGCUUGCUCUUACGGGUGGCGAGUGGCGGACGGGUGAGGAAUACAUCGGAAUCUACUUUUUCGUGGGGGAUAACGUAGAGAAACUUACGCUAAUACCGCAUACGACCUACGGGUGAAAGCAGGGGAUCUUCGGACCUUGCGCGAUUGAAUGAGCCGAUGUCGGAUUAGCUAGUUGGCGGGGUAAAGGCCCACCAAGGCGACGAUCCGUAGCUGGUCUGAGAGGAUGAUCAGCCACACUGGAACUGAGACACGGUCCAGACUCCUACGGGAGGCAGCAGUGGGGAAUAUUGGACAAUGGGCGAAAGCCUGAUCCAGCCAUACCGCGUGGGUGAAGAAGGCCUUCGGGUUGUAAAGCCCUUUUGUUGGGAAAGAAAAGCAGCAGGUUAAUACCCCGCCGUUCUGACGGUACCCAAAGAAUAAGCACCGGCUAACUUCGUG